AACAGGACACAGGGAAUGGCUUCCCACUGCCAGAGGGCAGGGAGAGAUGGGAGAUUGGGAAGGAAUUGCUGGCUGGGAGGGUGGGCAGGCCCUGGCACAGGUUGCCCAGAGAAGCUGUGGCUGCCCCUGGAUCCCUGGAAGUGUCCAAGGCCAGGUUGGAGCACCCUGGGCUGGUGGAAGGUGUCCCUGCCCAUGGCAGGGGUGGCACUGGAUGGGCUUUGAGGUCCUUCCAACCCAAACCAUUCC